GUAAAAAAAAGUGCCUAUAUUUGAACUAUGGCAGUCCAGAAGUAUAACUGCAAGUGUGCACAGCUAGGACAAUGGCAAUUGACAAUCAAAGGCUCAAUGAAUAUAGAAUGAUCAGCUGGAGUCCAUUAGAAAUCAAGGAAAAAUAUAGUCUGUAAUUAAUGUUGCUCAAAAUAAAACAUUCUGAAAUGUUUAUUUGGAACUUCAAAUCUAAAUUAUGAAUGAAUUUUGUGAACCUCAAGUUGGAGACCUGCCAGCUACACUGAAGUACAUCAAUGUGUAAACUCUUUUGCUGAGGCGUUUGCAAUAGUGUGAGGUGCAAUAGCAGCCUGUUUCUGUGACCAAUUAUUCCGAUGUUCGCACACCUGCAUAAAAUAAUGCUGGGAGUAUAGUUUUACAGCAUUAGUUGUUGAAGACUGUGUCCUACACUACAGAACAAAAGAUGUUAUUGUCAAUAAUCAGUCCUUUCAUGAAUAACCUGUAGGUAUCAAUUAAAACAUGACUUAAACUAAAUACCAUGGAAUUAUGAAUAUAACAGACCUUAGCAUGUUUGAAUUAUAGAAGUAUAUAUGAGUAGCGACAAUUUUACGGGCAAUUCUUCAGUGUUGCAAACACGCAAGAGUACAUUACUGAGGUAGUCUCUAGAACAGGGGUUCUCAACCUCUUUCACUGGCAUACCAAUAAUUCUAAUUGAACACUUUAAAUGUACCACUAACCAAAAGCAUUCAGGGAAAACUGUUAUUACAUUAAUAUUAACUUCUGAUUUUCUUACUUAGUUCGCAUACCACCAGUGGCAUGUGUAGCAUAGGUUGAGAAACGCUGCUCUAGAACAUAUUUUUUAAAAUUUGGUAGUAGGAUUUUGUUUCAAUUCAGAAGUCCAACUGAAUUCUACUGGUCUCUUCUCAACCUUUAAUUAUGUACAUAUCUUUACAUGAAACUAAUAUUGGUAUGCCUAAGAAAAUCAUGUUUAUAUUAAGAAAUAAAAAACUCAAAAGUGCCAUAUUCAACACAAAGCAAGUAUCAUGUUCACAUAACCAAGUCAACUUUGAUCUUACAGUUUGUAAAAUCUUUUUCCCUAUGGCACAGUUAUUAAUAAUAGGUAAUUCUUCAAAUGCUUAAAAAGCGUUCAGUAUUUACUAACUUCAUUUUAAAAAGGGCUUAAUAUUUACAAAAGUUAUCUGUUUCAUUUUAAUUUUUCUUGGAACAAUUUCGUACAGCAGUUGUUUACUCUAAAGGAAAUCAAGUAAAUAUUUCUAUAAUUUGAACCUCAAACAUCAACCUUAGAGGAAGAAUUCUUUCUCCCCCAUAAAACAAAUAUUAAAACUCUGAAACUGUUGAUUCUACUGAGCUUCCUUUGUUCCACAGAUAUAAAAUAUUAUAAAACAAAUCCUGCAUA